GCACCCGAGGCUCAACGGUUAGAGCGUUGGAAUUCUGCUCAACAGGUCGCAGGUUUGAGCCCCGGGUGCA
rnacentral:tRNA from 1 species